GACGAACGCUGGCGGCGUGCUUAACACAUGCAAGUCGAACGGAAAGGCCCUGCUUUUGUGGGGUGCUCGAGUGGCGAACGGGUGAGUAACACGUGAGUAACCUGCCCUUGACUUUGGGAUAACUUCAGGAAACUGGGGCUAAUACCGGAUAGGAGCUCCUGCUGCAUGGUGGGGGUUGGAAAGUUUCGGCGGUUGGGGAUGGACUCGCGGCUUAUCAGCUUGUUGGUGGGGUAGUGGCUUACCAAGGCUUUGACGGGUAGCCGGCCUGAGAGGGUGACCGGCCACAUUGGGACUGAGAUACGGCCCAGACUCCUACGGGAGGCAGCAGUGGGGAAUAUUGCACAAUGGGCGGAAGCCUGAUGCAGCAACGCCGCGUGCGGGAUGACGGCCUUCGGGUUGUAAACCGCUUUCGCCUGUGACGAAGCGUGAGUGACGGUAAUGGGUAAAGAAGCACCGGCUAACUACGUGCCAGCAGCCGCGGUGAUACGUAGGGUGCGAGCGUUGUCCGGAUUUAUUGGGCGUAAAGGGCUCGUAGGUGGUUGAUCGCGUCGGAAGUGUAAUCUUGGGGCUUAACCCUGAGCGUGCUUUCGAUACGGGUUGACUUGAGGAAGGUAGGGGAGAAUGGAAUUCCUGGUGGAGCGGUGGAAUGCGCAGAUAUCAGGAGGAACACCAGUGGCGAAGGCGGUUCUCUGGGCCUUUCCUGACGCUGAGGAGCGAAAGCGUGGGGAGCGAACAGGCUUAGAUACCCUGGUAGUCCACGCUGUAAACGGUGGGUACUAGGUGUGGGGUCCAUUCCACGGGUUCCGUGCCGUAGCUAACGCUUUAAGUACCCCGCCUGGGGAGUACGGCCGCAAGGCUAAAACUCAAAGGAAUUGACGGGGCCCCGCACAAGCGGCGGAGCAUGCGGAUUAAUUCGAUGCAACGCGUAGAACCUUACCUGGGUUUGACAUGGAUCGGGAGUGCUCAGAGAUGGGUGUGCCUCUUUUGGGGUCGGUUCACAGGUGGUGCAUGGCUGUCGUCAGCUCGUGUCGUGAGAUGUUGGGUUAAGUCCCGCAACGAGCGCAACCCUUGUUCACUGUUGCCAGCACGUUAUGGUGGGGACUCAGUGGAGACCGCCGGGGUCAACUCGGAGGAAGGUGGGGAUAACGUCAAGUCAUCAUGCCCCUUAUGUCCAGGGCUUCACGCAUGCUACAAUGGCUGGUACAGAGAGUGGCGAGCCUGUGAGGGUGAGCGAAUCUCGGAAAGCCGGUCUCAGUUCGGAUUGGGGUCUGCAACUCGACCUCAUGAAGUCGGAGUCGCUAGUAAUCGCAGAUCAGCAACGCUGCGGUGAAUACGUUCCCGGGGC
rnacentral:rRNA from 1 species